rnacentral:rRNA from 1 species
CCUACGGGCGGCAGCAGUGAGGAAUAUUGGUCAAUGGCCGGAAGGCUGAACCAGCCAUGCCGCGUGAAGGUCAGUGCCCUAUGGGCGUUAAACUUCUUUUGUGCGGGAGCAAUAAUGGUCACGUGUGGCCAGACGAGAGUACCGUACGAAUAAGCAUCGGCUAACUCCGUGCCAGCAGCCGCGGUAAUACGGGGGAUGCAAGCGUUAUCCGGAUUUAUUGGGUUUAAAGGGUGCGUAGGCUGUGAGGUAAGUCAGCGGUGAAAUGCCCCCGCUCAACGGGGUGAAGUGCCAUUGAUACUGCCUGGCUGGAAUGCGGAUGCGGUGGGAGGAAUGUGUGGUGUAGCGGUGAAAUGCAUAGAUAUCACACAGAACACCGAUUGCGAAGGCAUCUCACGAAUCCGCGAUUGACGCUGAUGCACGAAAGCGUGGGUAUCAAACAGGAUUAGAUACCCUAGUAGUC